ACUCCUGUAGCCCAAUUGGCAGAGGCCGCAAGCUCAAACCUUGUGUGUUGCUGGUUCAAAUCCAGUCAGGAGUACCA
rnacentral:tRNA from 2 species